rnacentral:tRNA from 1 species
CUCUGGGUAGUGCAGACAGUUAACAUGGUUGGCUGCUAACCAAAAGGUUAGAGGUUCAAGUCCACCCAGAGG